UACGGGAGGCAGCAGUGGGGAAUAUUGCACAAUGGGCGAAAGCCUGAUGCAGCUAUGCCGCGUGUAUGAAGAAGGCCUUAGGGUUGUAAAGUACUUUCAUCGGGGAGGAAAAAACAAAACUAAUAAUUUUAUUUCUUGACGUUACCCGAAAAAGAAGCACCGGCUAACUCCGUGCCAGCAGCCGCGGUAAUACGGAGGGUGCUAGCGUUAAUCAGAAUUACUGGGCGUAAAGAGCACGUAGGUGGUUUUUUUAAGUCAGAUGUGAAAUCCCUGGGCUUAACCUAGGAACUGCAUUUUGAAACUGAAAUACUAGAGUAUCGUAGAGGGAGGUAGAAUUCUAGGUGUAGCGGUGAAAUGCGUAGAUAUCUGGAGGAAUACCUGUGGCGAAAGCGGCCUCCUAAACGAAUACUGACACUGAGGUGCGAAAGCGUGGGGAGCAAGGCAGGGAUUAGAUACC
rnacentral:rRNA from 1 species